UACGAAGGGGCUAGCGUUGCUCGGAAUGACUGGGCGUAAAGGGCGCGUAGGCGGUGGACACAGUCAGGCGUGAAAUUCCUGGGCUCAACCUGGGGGCUGCGUUUGAUACGUGUUUGCUAGAGUGGGGAAGAGGGUCGUGGAAUUCCCAGUGUAGAGGUGAAAUUCGUAGAUAUUGGGAAGAACACCGGUGGCGAAGGCGGCGACCUGGUCCUGAUGACGCUGAGGCGCGAAAGCGUGGGGAGCAAACAGG
rnacentral:rRNA from 1 species